ACGUAGGGGGCAAGCGUUAUCCGGAAUUAUUGGGCGUAAAGAGUGCGUAGGUGGUUUUUUAAGCGAGAGGUGAAAGGCAAUAGAUUAACUAUUGUAAGCCUUGCGAACUGGAAGACUUGGGUGCAGGAGAGGAAAGUGGAAUUCGUAGUGUAGCGGUGAAAUGCUUAGAUAUUAGAAGGAACACCAAUGGCGAAGGCAGCUUUCUGGACUAUAACUGACGCUGAUGCACGAAAGCGUGGGGAUCAAACAG
rnacentral:rRNA from 1 species